AGCCACGCCCAGGUUCCAAGGGACGCGAACGGCUCCCGGGACGAAAAGGAGAGUGACAGCCGAGUUCUCACAGGAGUGAAGCCACGUGGCGCCGGAGAGCGCGGCGGAAGUAGUAGUGAUGACAAUGACAGGCUGGCGUAGCAGAACUGCGCCACAGAAAUGAGAAAGUGGCUAGAGUACACGCCUAACACUCGCGAGGCCCUUGGGGUCCCUUCCCAGCGCCCCAAGGUAAAAGCAUGGAGGAAGUGACUCAGCCUCUUCUCCCUAGGUGACUUUUACAAAAACAAGAGGAACGGAACUCCACAAACUUCGGAAAGCGCAUGCGUGUCCCAGCCCGCUCCUUUUCCCUGGUUGGACGCGGGAAGGCAGGGUUGUCGCUCUCUCUGCGUCGAUCCGUCCCGAUCAGAUCCGGAAAUGGAGGCAGGACAGAGUACGCAGUUUCUUUCCCUAUCGAUGGGCGAGUGCGAGGUCUUUGUAUAAAAACAAAGAAAUAAAUAACCUUCAGAUCGCAAAGAAAAAAAGAAAGGUUAGUGCUGCCUUUCGGAUUCAUCAGAGAAAAGGCCUGUUGCUGAGGGUGACAGUGGUGACUAUAGAGACUCAAUGUCGGUGUACUGAGAGCAAGUGAGUGUGGGUGCUCAGGCCUGAGUGGGACAUCCACAUCAACACCUGCCAAGGCCCAGGGAGCUUCACGGAAGAGGACUCGGAGAGAAGAUGAGAACAAGGCGAUGAGGGGAAGUGCUGCGGAACACCGUUUCCCAGGCAGAACAUGGCCACUGCACUCCUAAUCGCUCAGCAACUGAGAUGACUUGAGUGAGACCUGCAGAAGACUGGGCCCGUCAGCAUCCCAUCAUGGAUGGGUAAGGGAUCAUAAGGACCCGCUUCCCUGAAGCUUACAGUUGGUACUUGCUGGGAUUGGGGUGGGCUUUGAGGAUUUAAAAGGCCACACCAUUCCCAGUGUGCAUGUGUUCUGCUCUCUGUCUCUGUGUCUCUCUCUUUCUCUGUCUCCUAAUUAUAGAUAAGACUGUAAGCUCUCAAGUCUUGUUCCAGUGUCAUCUGCCUGCCUGCUGUUACGCUCCCAUGAUAAUGUUCAUGGACUUAAUGCCUGAAAAUGUAAGUGCCCAAUAAACUGUUUCUUCUUUAA
rnacentral:lncRNA from 1 species